rnacentral:rRNA from 1 species
UGGGGAAUCUUCCGCAAUGGACGAAAGUCUGACGGAGCAACGCCGCGUGGGUGACGAAGGUUUUCGGAUCGUAAAACCCUGUCAAGAAGGAAGAAAAAAGACGGUACUUCUGAAGGAAGCCCCGGCUAAUUACGUGCCAGCAGCCGCGGUAAUACGUAGGGGGCAAGCGUUGUCCGGAAUUACUGGGCGUAAAGAGCACGUAGGCGGUAACCUAAGUCAGGUGUGAAAGACCAGGGCUUAACUCUGGGGUUGCAUACGAAACUGGGUAACUAGAGUGCAGGAGAGGAAAGUGGAAUUCCAGGUGUAGGAGUGAAAUCCGUAGAUAUCUGGAGGAACACCGGUGGCGAAGGCGGCCACCUGGACGAUAACUGACGCUGAGGUGCGAAAGCGUGGGUAGCAAACA